AUUGAACGCUGGCGGCAGGCCUAACACAUGCAAGUCGGACGGUAGCACAGAGGAGCUUGCUCCUCGGGUGACGAGUGGCGGACGGGUGAGUAAUGUCUGGGGAUCUGCCCGAUAGAGGGGGAUAACCACUGGAAACGGUGGCUAAUACCGCAUAACGUCGCAAGACCAAAGAGGGGGACCUUCGGGCCUCUCACUAUCGGAUGAACCCAGAUGGGAUUAGCUAGUAGGCGGGGUAACGGCCCACCUAGGCGACGAUCCCUAGCUGGUCUGAGAGGAUGACAGGCCACACUGGAACUGAGACACGGUCCAGACUCCUACGGGAGGCAGCAGUGGGGAAUAUUGCACAAUGGGCGCAAGCCUGAUGCAGCCAUGCCGCGUGUAGGAAGAAGGCCUUCGGGUUGUAAAGUACUUUCAGCGGGGAGGAAGGCGAUAAGGUUAAUAGCCUUGUCGAUUGACGUUACCCGCAGAAGAAGCACCGGCUAACUCCGUGCCAGCCGCCGCCGUAA
rnacentral:rRNA from 1 species